CCCCUUGAGAAAACCUAGCCGUCGACGAUAGCUCAGUUUUUCGUCGAACCCGACGCCGAUGAGCAGUUGACAAUUCGAAGCCCCCUCAGCGCACCGGCUGGUCAGAGCAGACGCCUCGUCCGCUGCGUUCCGUCGAGAGUCCAGAUCCGAAGGCACCUGCUGUGUUCCGUCGAGAGCCGCUCGCCCAAUUUCUCUAGCUCGUCCAGCCGAGCUCCUUUGCGCGUCACUUGUCCGGUUGGUCUCCUCUGUCGUUCGCCUAGCACCGAUCGUACGCGAGCACCGCUUCAAGCCACGUCCACCACCCCAGGUUUUUCGCCACCAGUUAUCGUCACCCUACCACGUCGGGUCUGUCUUGGUCUUCGUCAGAUCUGUUGGGCUAAAAUCGUCAAGGAGUUUGGAAGUCAAAGGAGGCACUGUCGAGAAAGGUGGAAGUGAUUUUCAUUCUGAGAUCGCUACUUUGGAUUUGCCGUUAUAGUUUGGUGGUCUAAUUUUUAUCUGUAGAGUAUCGACUCGAGGUAAGGGUAGAGAUGCACCGGUGAUGGCUUAACGGAAUUCGCGAUCGUGCCACUGGGACUAGUAUUUACGCUUCCGCAUCAUGACAUUUAGAGUCC